GGAGUAACUCCACCUCUGCACUUGUGCAACACGUUGCACCUGGCCCUGCACCUCAUUUGCACAGAAUGAAAGCUGGAAGCAGUGGAAUAGCACAAAGCUUAUAGUAGCAGCAUACUGAAUACUUACAUUCAGUUUACAGAUGUAGCAGCCUGCAGCUCUGCUUUUUAAUUUUUAUCUCCAACACGUGAUGGACACAGAAUUUUUCAUUUAUAUCUUCACUGAAGAGGAAAAAUACUAGAAUUAUGACCUCUUUUGAUUCAAUUCACAAACAGUAUUGAUUUUCUAAUGGAAUCUGAAGUGAGCCUGUUGAUUGACCUCAAGGGGGAACAAAAGUUGUCACAAUGCUGAAGAAGAAAGCAAAGAAAAUUGUAACCUUACUCUGAAAGAGGUAUUGAUAUAUUGCAGCAGAGUUAUCUUGAAGAGGCAGCAGAUUCCAAUUGCUCAGAAGGCACUCGGCAGAAUGAAUUUCCCUACAUUUUCUUAGCUGGAAAUAAAUACAAUCAGAGGCUCACACUUGAUCUGAAUCCCGUCUGUCUUGCCAGAAGAUCUGAGAGCACUAAUAAACACAGGACUUCAGAACUGCUGUUUGACCUCAGAGUGCUUUCAGAGCAAUGAAAAAUGAACUCCCAGAUGACUCUACAGAGAGUAAAAUUAUCCAGCCUGUUCUGAUCCCCUCCAUCAGGCCAGCUGUAGCCACAUUCACUUUGCUAGAAACCUCUGUAUUGGCUAGCAGUAGUUUCAUUAUUUUUCUGAAUGAUCAGUUGGACAGCAGCCAUAGAAAAAACAAAAAAGAACCUGACUUUUAUAUAGAGAAAAAUCUCUGCAAGGUUACAAGUUGUUUGUUUUUUAACAGCUAUAAACUUCUGUUAUUUAACCUUUAAGGUUUCUGGUAAUGCUUCUCCUCCUGCAGCAAACCCUUAAACUAGUUCUCCCCAGCAAGCUGCAGGGACCAUUUUGGAAGCUGAGGUAUUCCUUAAAGGGGAGAAAUAUAGGUAAGGAGAGAACUUCCAUCAUAACACCCAUUUGCACUUCUUUAGUGCCUGGUAUCAAAAAUUCCCAUUAGACUGGCAGUGCACAAUAUAUUCUGGCUGCUCUCCCUUUUGCCCUUGACGUGCCUCUCAUAUGUUGUGAGCCAGAGGGGCUGAUGAAGAGAUAGCAACAUCAGUUUUAUGCCAGCUGCAGAUUUCUCCAUCCUAGGUCAAUCCUCUGCUGCACAUUAAAGGCUACUUCAAGGUCCCUUUAUGUUCCUCAGGUGGGUGGACUUGAGCACAGGCUUGAAUGUGACCCUCAGAGAGCAGUGCAUUAUCUGAGUUCUGUGAUUUGUGUCGGCUUUAACGGUUGUUGUUUGGCUAAAAUCCUGCCGGCAGCUUGAAAGUUCAGCUUGAAUUUUGCCUUCGUCUCCCUCUUUGAUCAUGACUGUGUCUAAAGUCUAAUUCAACAAAUCUUAUUUGCCCUCUUCCUCUGACACUUGUUUAACUCCAGCGGUUUAACUCUGAAGCUUAGACCACAGUGUUCUAACGAAGGGAAAGAGGAUGAUGAAAAGACUGUGGUAGAUUGCAGAUGAGGAGAUUAUAGAACUAAUUAAAUCUGAAACAUUUUAGGUGUUGUUGCUGCAACUGGUAAAGAUGACUAAUAUUAGCAGGCAGCACUUAGGAGAUCUGUAGUUUUAAUUGUAAAUAGUCUGACACUUUAUUAAAAGUCACUCCAUAAAUCUUUUUUUUCCCCCAUAAUUAAUUGUUCUCUCCUAUCUCACUUAUCUGGUAAGCUGUCUGCAAUGCAUACAAGGAAAAUACAAAAGUCUUUUAUCUGUCAGCAAAAGGAAUGUGUAUCCUUGUAGCACAGUGCAAUUGAAAGGGUAAAUAAAACUUUCAUGUGGUAGAAC